UUUCCUUCUUCCUCCACUGAAGGAGAUAUGCCAUGCCUUUGACAAAAUGAUGAGCUCAUACCAUAAAUCCUUCGGAAUUGCUCUGGCAGAUGAGAUCCAGCUACUUCCGUAUUCUCCCUUAGAGGCUCCAGAGGAAGACACAAAGAUUUUGAUCUCUCGCACUUCCUACUUAAUGUUCCCGUUGACUGACAUUCCCAUUAUCCUCAAAGAGUAUCCUGUGAACUCCACAGAGUCUGUAGUUGCAAUGUUAUUUUGAACUAAGCUCCAAUUUGUGCUUUCCGUGGGAGAACACUUUCUUGCUUCACCCAGCAUUUCUCCUGUUUCUUUGAUGUAAGAGAUCCUUGCUUCCAGAGGGCAGCACCUGAAUUAGCCCCUCUGCACCCUGCAUCAAAUCUGAUGAGCAGCCCAAGCAAACCAAACCGCAGUCACGUGGAACAUUUGGCUCUGCUCUCCUGCAAGGAGUUUGAGGAGAUCCUUGCUCUGAGCACCAGUAUUCCCUGGCGAUGCCAUCACCAUCCUUCCAGCUUAGUUUCUUCACCCUUCCCUGUAAAUUCUAAAAUUACAGAAAGAAAGCAAACACUGGCUGCUGAAAGAUAUUAUUCUCAUUUCUACAAGGCUUAUCUUCUGGCCCUCUAUAAUACCUUGGCAACCCCACAGAGGAUUCUGGUCCGGUUAUUUUUCCCAGAAUCAAGGCCUGGCUUCAUGCCACACUGAAGCAAGAAGUAUUCCCAUGAUGCUAAGGUGAUCUGAGCUGAUAAAGCAGCAGCCACUUUUCGUCCUUCCAAACACAACCCUUGAAUAGGAGGCAAAGCUUUCGAUGCGGGUAUACUCACAGUCAGCACUCAAAGGUGAGGCACCCUUAAGAUUUAUGCACUUUAUUGAAACAAACAGGAAACUGGGAAAUACUUUUUAACCACUGAGAGAUUACAGCAUUGCAAAUCAGAAGGGCAGAUCUCUGCUGCUACCUUUAAGCAGAAAUACACUACAGCAAAAAUACACUAUUAACCAUUUGUUUCAUUCAUGGCUAAUAGGCUUCACAUAGUUAACUCCCUGCCUACUCCUCUGGUUUACAUCCCUGCAUAAAAGCAGCUCCUGCUAUUUCCAGGCCUUAGGACGUAUGUUCACCUGUAAGUUAAAGGCUCAUCUUAUGCAUUUUUAUGCUGAAGAUAUUAAAAAGGGUGAGGGAAAGUCUGUUUGCAGGUACUGAUAAUGUUUGCAUGAGAACUCGAUGACCAGUGAGACAAACACACCAGCCAAAUUCGGGCACCUCUCGAGUUUCAAUUGUUUCAUUAGAGCAGGAGUUACCACACGGAGUCCAUUCCUCAGCAGGAGCAACACAGACUGCUCUGUGAGGACUGCUUUCCUGGAACAGCAGCAGCAGUGCACUGUCAGACCAAAGCUUUUCUCCUGUGAUGCAACAUUUCUAAGAAGUUCCUUUCGCCUCUCGGAUGGGAGCAGCCAGUCAUUCACUCCAACUCUUAAUUGCUGCUCUGCAAAAUCCCCAAAAGGAAUGUAACAACUUGUUUCUCACUGUGAAAAUGGGAGGUUCUCCACUGCAAGCUUUAAGCCUUCGGCUGAAUACCUGCUGAACAUCUGGCUUGGGAUCAAGGUUUGCUUUUAUGGUUGUCCAUGCCCUGCUACAACGGGUGGACACAUUGCUAGAUUAAUACUACCAACAGAAGCGGGGUGGAUAGACUCCCUUCCUUCCUCCUCUUACCCCCAGUAAAUGCAGCAGCUGCAGCCUGACAGAACACGCCAGUCUUUCAGAAAGACUCAAAUACCACAAGAAAAAGCCUCAAGCACAGCAUGGCCCCAUGGAAAGCAGAGAAAGGCUGCUGCGAGCAGCAUGGGACACGUGCCCCAGGAUGCACAGCUCAUGAGUGAGCAUACAUGUGCACGUGGGAAGCAUCUCUAAUCCCCUGAAUACUAAACGUGAACCCCUUUUAUCUGGUAUAUGCUUUGAUUUUCUUCCUAAGAAAUAGCAAGCAUGUAUGUUUGGCAUAAGAAAGCUUUCAUCAUGCGAGAUCCCCAAAGCACGCAAAAUGACGGUCCAGGCAUGCUAACUGCACCACAGGGCAAAUUUCUCUUUUCCAAACCUCAGCAAAAUUCAUACAUUCCUUCUAAAUCCAGUUGCAAACCGCUAUCCUGAAGGCACUAAUACUGAAUGCAGGUAUUGAUAGUGCCAAGCAGUAAAUCUGCACCCAUAAGGAGCACGUAGUUCAACCAGAGCCCACAGCAAGGGGAAGGUAACCAACCGACCAAAGGAAAAAGGAUGCACCUAGAGCAAACAAUUGCAAACCUUGUAGGGAGACACAGAUUAGCAGUCUAAUUAGAACCACCAGAUAACCACAUGUAAAAUAGGGUUUUUAGUGCAUUUUCAAAGCACUGUGACCGGAAGACACGUUACAUCCAUCUAAAAGGAUGAAUUCUGCUCUAGGCACUCCAGUGUUAAUGUACUGCAACUCCAGUGACUUCAAAGGGGUUGCUGCAGAUAUAAAGCAGUGUAGCCAGAAGCACUGGCUGGUAGCCUGCAUAAACAAGCAAAAAAGAUUUUCAUUUUUUAAGAAGCCAUAAAAAAUAGUUCAAGCUAAUUACGUGACAGGGGCCUGGGUGUGAAAUAGCAACUGCAAAGCCCCGGGGAUCAAGACAGGAACCUUUGAUUUGCUCUCUUCAGCUUAUAAAGUCUUCUGAAUACUUUUGCUCUAACAGCUUUUCUUCUUCCCAUUGCAAGCUGCACACAUUACUCUGAUGCUGCUCUCCAGAGGCCCCCACCAUUGCUCUGUACUAAAUCUCAAUCCUUUGUCUUACAAUCUGAGGCUGAUUUCAGGUUGCAGAGCUAAACCAGCAGCUGUCUCCAAGCAGAAAGCCCAUUUCGUGUUCACCUUAUGGAGCAGCAGCGUUAGAGCAGCUGAAAUCACAACCACCCCAUGAGCAAAGUUUCAAACCUCUCUGAAAGUCCCUGAAGUUGAAAUAUUAAUCUGGAAAGCACUGAAUGUGUGUUUCUGAAGCUCAGUUUGGAAUGAGAAACAAAAGUUCUGGAGCCUGUGGGCUGACACCGUGUCUACUCGGUAUUAAAAUGCAGAGCAGAAUCUAAGCUGUCUCUGCAGAAAAACAACUGAGAAACAAAUAUCUGUGUUAUGUAUGAUAACUGAGCCCUCCUAGGAAGGCACUGCUAGCAGCUCUGCUCCCUCACCCGCCUGACGUGCCGACACACCCAGGCUAGACAGUAAAUUUAUUCAACCACAUUCAUUUCUCCUGGUCCUUAAGUCACAAGUGGUGAAAUCUCAUUCAUUUAUGCAAGCAACUGGAAGAUUUAUUGUAAAUAAAAGUUCUGCACAUUACACAACUGGCUCAAAAUCAUAAUUAGAGUUGCACUGGGAAACAUGUUUUAUUUAUUCUGACAGUAGUCUGGCUUCAAUAAUCGUAGCAUGAUAAAUGCUCCUGAAGUUUGCAGAGUUUCAGCAACUACAGAGCUUAUCACAGACGUGGAAGUGAAAACAUCUGAAUAGGUUUGAUGUGGCUUACAAGAGGUCCUGAGCAGUUCUGUUGCAUAGCAUCAUUUUACAUCAGCACCAGGCUACCAAGAGCUGGUGGGAGUGUCCUCCUUCACUGUAAAUCAAAGAAAUGAGAUGUUCUGCUGCUUCUAAACUUCCGAGAUCUCCUCCCAAAAGCUGGGCCAUGUCUGCACGAAUUAGUGUGGUUCUGCAGUGGGGAGAAAUGACAGUCGGAUUGCUGAGCCGACAGACCCUCUGGAAAAGGGUCAGUGACACCAUUAAUAGGAUGCAGAUUCCCCAUCUCUAGCUGUUCUGCACCCUGCCAAGAGUUCUAGUGCUUUCUUCCUUUAUAGUUUUAAGCACAAUUUCAGGCCCAUAAAACAUCAGAGAAGACAGAAGCUCUUAUCCCAGCCCUGGCGGGCCACGCACGCUGCGAAUACCUUGAACGAAUGAUGCUGAGCUCUCACCGGUCCCCAUCUGUUCAAGGGUAUUUUAAAACAUACCAAAUCAGGUUUACCCCGAUAGCAUUUACUGCUGCUCUGAGACUAAUAAAUGGCUCUGAGUGCAAUCAAACAUUUAUCUGGCUUUGUUCGUUCUUGAAGAAGAGAGGAGCCCAGUCUCCUUGCUCCUCGGGCAGAGCAUCCUCAGCUGCACUUGCUCCAGCCCAGCCACAGAGCAAGAUCGCCUCAACACUCACCAAGAGCCCGAUCCAGCUGUCAAGUUCUUUCAAUACAGAGAAUCAAAGCAGUUUAUUUUCAGAAUACCACAGAGGUUAUGUAUGGGACGGCCCAGAGCCACAGCUAUGUACUUCACAGGAGUAAAACAAACUCUACUAUCAGUACACACGGUAGCCACUUUCACAAAUACUUUAGCCAGCCUGUGCUAAAGUUAGAGCAGCUUUCAGGUCACGUUACAAAAAACCAUUGUUUAUGUUGCUAUAAAAAGAACUUCCUGGUAGCCAGGAGGGUGGCACCCAGCAGCACAUUGCUGCAAGUCCCAGGGAGAGAGCGUGGAAACCUUUCCCAGCACCCACUCUGCAGUGCCCACGGAUGGCAGUGGUGGCACCAGGUGAGUUUGCUGCACGGCACAGCACAGUUGGCCUAGUUGAUGCUAAGAGUGAGACCAAAGAUGCUUCCUCAUUUUUUAAGGAUCUUCUCUUUUUUCUUUACUCCUCUCCCUCCCCCGAGGUGCACACACCCCUUAGAAGCGUGCUGUGAAAAACAGAGCGCAAUUCCUUAUGAAGAGAUGCCACCCAUGCCCUCCGCAGGGGUUCCCCAGCUGUCUGCUGCAGUGCAGCUCGUGAGCACUGUGUGUUCAGCACAGCUCCGUGGCAGAGAAGACACAAAACAGAAACUGCUGCCAUAGAAAUACCACUGGUGGGAAGGUUUAAGGGACAUGGGAAGGAUACCCAGGUAUUUUAGGAAAGCAGCGAUGGGGGAAUGGCACACUUACAGCCAUUAAUCAUAUUCUGCACAUAGGAAAGCAAGUAACCUUUCAUUGAUUACUAAACUAAGAAAGCAGCCUUUGCAUAACCAAAUGCGAGCAUUAAAAAAACCCAUUAGGCUGUAACUGUGAAGCUUGCCUCAGCUUGCCACUGAGAUGCAUUU
rnacentral:lncRNA from 1 species